CGCGGCCUAUCAGCUUGUUGGUGAGGUAACGGCCCACCAAGGCGACGACGGGUAGCUGGUCUGAGAGGACGGCCAGCCACACUGGGACUGAGACACGGCCCAGACUCCUGCGGGAGGCAGCAGUGGGGAAUCUUGCGCUAAUGCGCGAAAGCGUGACGCAGCGACGCCGCGUGGGGGAUGAAGGCCUUCGGGUCGUAAACCCCUUUCGCCAGGGAAGAAGGGAAACUGACGGUACCUGGAGAAGAAGUCCCGGCUAACUACGUGCCAGCAGCCGCGGUAACACGUAGGGGACGAGCGUUGUCCGGAUUUAUUGGGCGUAAAGCGCGCGUAGGCGGCCCGGAAAGUCGGUUGUGAAAACCCGGGGCUCAACCCCGGGCCUGCAUCCGAAACUUCCGGGCUGGAGGUAGGUAGGGGAGAUCGGAAUUCCUGGUGUAGCGGCGAAAUGCGCAGAUAUCAGGAGGAACACCGGUGGCGAAGGCGGAUCUCUGGGCCUUACCUGACGCUGAGGCGCGAAAGCUAGGGGAGCGAACAGGAUUAGAUACCCUGGUAGUCCUAGCCGUAAACGUUGGGUGCUAGGUGUGGGUGGACAUCGACCCCAUCCGUGCCGAAGCUAACGCAUUAAGCACCCCGCCUGGGGAGUACGG
rnacentral:rRNA from 1 species